rnacentral:tRNA from 1 species
GGGCCCGUGGCCUAGCAUGGAUAGGGCGCAGGCCUUCGGAGCCUGAGGUCGGGGGUUCAACUCCCCCCGGGCCCG